rnacentral:lncRNA from 1 species
GUGGUCGUAAGUGGAUGUUUUUUUGUGGAUACUUUGAUUGCUGUGUUUGAAAAUUGCAGUGUAAGAUCCACGCCGUCAUGCAUGCACAUGCUGACCCAUCGUACGUACAAUGAUGCAGCAAUGAACCUCUAUUGUUCACCAUCAUGCUCACCAAAAUCAAUUCCAUAAUUGUGUUUUAAAUUUCCUUAAAUUCAACUCAACUCAAGUUAAUCUUAAUUUAAUGUCAAAAUUAUGCCUCAUUUCAAACUAUGACCUGCC